CCUACGGGGUGCAGCAGUGGGGAAUAUUGGACAAUGGGCGAAAGCCUGAUCCAGCCAUGCCGCGUGUGUGAAGAAGGCCUUCGGGUUGUAAAGCACUUUCAGUGGGGAAGAAAGCCUUGGGGCUAAUACCCUCGAGGAAGGACAUCACCCACAGAAGAAGCACCGGCUAACUCCGUGCCAGCAGCCGCGGUAAUACGGAGGGUGCGAGCGUUAAUCGGAAUUACUGGGCGUAAAGCGCGCGUAGGCGGUCUGAUAAGCCGGUUGUGAAAGCCCCGGGCUCAACCUGGGAACGGCAUCCGGAACUGUCAGGCUAGAGUGCAGGAGAGGAAGGUAGAAUUCCCGGUGUAGCGGUGAAAUGCGUAGAGAUCGGGAGGAAUACCAGUGGCGAAGGCGGCCUUCUGGACUGACACUGACGCUGAGGUGCGAAAGCGUGGGUAGCAAACAGGAUUAGAUACCUCAGUAGUC
rnacentral:rRNA from 1 species